GACAGAGGGUGCAAACGUUGUUCGGAAUUACUGGGCGUAAAGCGAGUGUAGGCGGUCUGAAAAGUCAGGUGUGAAAGCCCUGGGCUCAACCCAGGAAGUGCACUUGAAACUGCCAGGCUAGAGUAUCGGAGAGGUUGGUGGAAUUCUCGGUGUAGAGGUGAAAUUCGUAGAUAUCGAGAGGAACACCGGUGGCGAAGGCGGCCAACUGGACGAAUACUGACGCUGAGGAACGAAAGCCAGGGGAGCAAACGGG
rnacentral:rRNA from 1 species